UAUGAGCCCCUAAACUGCAUCAGCACUAGAGGUAAAAGCUUCCAAACCAUCUCCGGUGAAAAAAGAAAAAACAUUAAAAGCUCUUUAGAAGCCCUCUGAAAUGUCUGAGUUCUUUAAAACUAGCUUAAUAUAUUUCUAGUCUCAGCCCUUACUCUCUAAUUCCCCCAGUCUCGUUCCCUGUUCAUUCUCUUUCAACCAACUCCACCACAAAAGCCAGGGCUUCCUCUAUCCAGUAUUCCGGUUGUUCGUGGUGCCAUCCUGCUUUGGCCAGAGUAUGCACAGCGCUAUUAGCCAGACUAGGUACAAAUCAAAAUUUUAUGUAUGUGAAAUUAUUGAUUUUGUUUUGGACUGCCUUAAGGACAUUACUGAUACGAGAUCUGCCAUCUUUUGCAUUGUUAAUCCCUUUGAUUACUAUCAGGGAGUCUCCUUCCAUAAAGAUAUCUCGAAAGCCCAGAUCUUCCCCAAAUUUGACAGCAUGCAAACACGCCCAGGAAUACAUGAUGCCAUUACAAGUCCCUCUUUAUUUCUAGCAAUAAUACCUGCUCUUGAAAUGUUUGGUUCCUGAUGAAAAGAUGCAUCAAAUUUGAUCUUAAUCGUGUCUUCAUUGGGUGGUUCCCAGUUAACAUUUUUUAGUACUGUUUUUGGCACCAGAACACUUUCCAUUGACUCAUUUUCCAUCAUGUAAGCUUUAAUAAAAGAGACCACCUCACACAUUCGAUUUUAAACCCUUAUGAUACACACUAUUCUUGUUGUACAAUAUCGCCCAGCAAGCAAUUGCUAUAGUUUUGCAUUUUAGUAAAUCAUAACUCAAGAACUUUUCCACUAACCAACUAUGCCAACUCUGACUUUUAUUAAUGGUGGAGUUUGCCUCUCCUAGUCCUUGCAGGACCUUAAUUGUGAAGUUACAGUCUCGAAACAAGUGGACCAUUGACUCCACAUCUGACUUACAUAAUGGCCACUGGUCGUCUUUUACCAGCCCUCUCUCCAAAUUGUGGAGCGUAAGCAUGAAUUCUUUAGAUAGCUUCCACAUACCUAUUUUUAUUUUGUUAGACAACUUUAGUUUCCACAAUUGUGUAUAAUAGGUCUUCAAUUUUUCUUGGUAUAUUGUAAGAUUGGCUUCCGUAUUAAUUAUGUCAGUUGUAAUAAGUCAUUUGUAUCUGUUUUUAACUGUAUACUCACCUAAAUCAUCACCUCUCCACAAUAAUACUUCUGGUUGGCUCCGAUCAACAAGAGGA
rnacentral:lncRNA from 1 species